UACGUAGGGGGCAAGCGUUGUCCGGAAUCAUUGGGCGUAAAGCGCGCGUAGGCGGCCCUGUAAGUCCGUUGUGAAAGUCGAAGGCUCAACCUUCGAAAGCCGAUGGAUACUGCAGGGCUAGAGUCCGGAAGAGGCGAGUGGAAUUCCUGGUGUAGCGGUGGAAUGCGUAGAUAUCUGGAGGAACACCGGUGGCGAAGGCGGCGACCUGGGUAGAUACUGACGCUGAGGUGCGAAAGCGUGGGGAGCAAACAGG
rnacentral:rRNA from 1 species